rnacentral:rRNA from 1 species
CUACGGGCCGCUCCAGUGGGGAAUAUUGCACAAUGGGCGCAAGCCUGAUGCAGCCAUGCCGCGUGUAUGAAGAAGGCCUUCGGGUUGUAAAGUACUUUCAGCGGGGAGGAAGGGAGUAAAGUUAAUACCUUUGCUCAUUGACGUUACCCGCAGAAGAAGCACCGGCAAACUCCGUGCCAGCAGCCGCGGUAAUACGGAGGGUGCAAGCGUUAAUCGGAAUUACUGGGCGUAAAGCGCACGCAGGCGGUUUGUUAAGUCAGAUGUGAAAUCCCCGGGGUCAACCUGGGAACUGCAUCUGAUACUGGCAAGCUUGAGUCUCGUAGAGGGGGGUAGAAUUCCAGGUGUAGCGGUGAAAUGCGUAGAGAUCUGGAGGAAUACCGGUGGCGAAGGCGGCCCCCUGGACGAAGACUGACGCUCAGGUGCGAAAGCGUGGGGAGCAAACAGGAUUAGAUACCCGCGUAGUC